ACGUAGGGUGCAAGCGUUAAUCGGAAUUACUGGGCGUAAGGCGUGCGCAGGCGGUUCUGUAAGACAGAUGUGAAAUCCCCGGGCUCAAACUGGGAAUUGCAUUUGUGACUGCAGGACUAGAGUUCAUCAGAGGGGGGUGGAAUUCCAAGUGUAGCAGUGAAAUGCGUAGAUAUUUGGAAGAACACCAAUGGCGAAGGCAGCCCCCUGGGAUGCGACUGACGCUCAUGCACGAAAGCGUGGGGAGCAAACAG
rnacentral:rRNA from 1 species